rnacentral:lncRNA from 1 species
CUGUUUUCGUCAGCAUUUCCAACUCCACUUCUUGUUCUCACCAUUUUGAUCUACACCGAAUAAGGUGAAAUUAGAUCCUCAAUCAUGAUAGAUAUCAAAUCAUCCUUAUCACUCCGAAACGUUUACAUGCUAGUUCUAAUAUCGUAGACGUACGCUUAGAAUCCUACACACAUAAGGUUUCUAGAUCCGGUCGGCAACAGACCAUAGAUCCGAACAAAUAAUAUCAUAUAUGGCAACAUAUAACAUUUAGCACAUAAAGCAUUUUAGGCAACUUUCCUAAAAUAAACUAGUGCUCGUGUCUAAAUCACAACAGACACACAUCUCAAAACUUCACUUAGCAUUCUAAGUUUAAGUCUAGAAAUCCAACAAAUUCCUAGUUCGCUUAAACUAAUGCUCUGAUACCAACUGUGACAUCCCCAAAAUCUCGGCCAGAAAAGACCGAUUUUCAUUUAUGCUUUUAAAUAUUUUCAGAGUAAAUCCUUUUGAUUUGAAAGAGUUGCGGAAUUUGUUCCCAAAAACAAAACAUGAUAAAACAUUGUUUACCGAAGCAUUUCAUAAAAGAAAUGUAUUUUCAUUAUAAUCAAAACUCGGGGUGUCAUGUUCCGAUACAGACCAAUAAGCAUAAACGAAUACAUUACAAGUCAUAUAACAAAUAUAAACAUAUGCAGACUUGUAAACAAAACAACUUGAUGGUUCAUCCAUCUCAUGCCCUUCCGCCACUACCUGUAAUACAAUUUAAAACUGAGUGGGUCAGGCUUGGGAGCCUGGUGAGCAUAUAGGGUUUUCAACCCACAAUAAAUAUCAUAUUUAAUUUUCACCAACCAACAAUAACCCAAUUACCCAUUCCCGUUAUUCUCACUUUAAUGUCCCUAAAACAACUAACAUAAGGGACCUAGUCUAAGAAUAUUUCAUCGGGGCGACAACACAUGCUUCGGGGGUACCUCAGCAAUAUAAGUCAAAUAAGGCAACCAUGAGGGGGAUGGAGUACAGCGAAUGAACACCCAAGUUCAUUAACACCUACAGGUGGCGAACCUGCUAAUGUUUCCACAAGACUGUCUAGAAUAGCCAGUGGUCGUCAUCUAAACUCCGCUAGAUGACUCAAUCAAACAACAACGAGGCCUCUCAUCUGUUUAUUACACACCAACUGUCUACCCAUGUUCUACCCAACAUAUUAGUAGAUAAAAAUAUACAUUUGUAUACAUAGUUUAAAGAAAACCUGUAUAGCAUGCUUUAAUCAACACAUAUAUCACAUAACAGAUGAGGCACACACACACAUAACACAUAUCUCAUAAAGAAAUAAGCAGAUCUAUAAGAUAGAAGAGAGUGAAUACUCAUUCACACAUAACACAACCAAAUAUAUACACAUAGCACGUAUUUUUAUAUAAAAUACUUCGUAUUAUUGUAUUAGAAGAAAUAACUACACACUCACUUGAUCAGAAGAUGAUCGGACAGCACUACGGCUUAUAGAAGUAGUAAUCCACAGCAGAUCUGGAAGAUCUUCUCGAAAAUCGAACUUCUCGCGGGCAGAGCUUCGACUCGGGAACCGCACUUUUCGGGAUCUUCAGGAUCUCGGGACUUGCCUCGGGGCUAGAGUAUGAUACCGGGACUUCGGGGUAGCUUCGGGGGUUUUUGCACAGAGCUUCGACACGAAAACGAGAGGGAAUUGGCAAAAAUACCCGGAACCCUCGCAUCCUAUUUAUAGGAGGCUGGAGCCUCGGAGUACGCGGGGCGUACUGCGUUACGCGGGGCGUACUGCCCAAAACGUCAUUGCUUACGUAUCCGAAGUGCUCGAGUGCGAGUGUCGACAUCCCUCGGAGUACGCGGGGCGUACUCGAGUACGCGGGGCGUACCUCGGAUCAGAUCGGUGACUCCUUCGGAUAAUGCUUCCGAAUUUUGAAUUAAAAAUAAAUACAAAAUGAUUAAUAAACUUCGGAAAUUCAUAACUUCUUCAUACGAACUCCGUUUUCGACGUUCUUUAUAUCCACGCGAAGGUGAGACCACGCUCUACGACUUUCGUUUAGACUCCGUCGGCUAAUUUUGACUUUAUUUUUAUUAAUUAUUUUUAAUAGGCCGGGACAGAAACUUUCGUUAUAAAUUCAUAACUUCUUCGUUUGACGUCCGUUCUCGCCUAACUUUUUAUCGUUUCAAUACCAACAAUGAGAUCUUCGAUUCUCAUUUAGAUUGCUUCGGCUAACAACCGCUCGAUCUCAAAUCGAGUAAAACAGGCUGUAUAUCGCUAAGCCGGAACUUCGAUAAAUCAUAACUUCCUCAUACGAAGUCAGAUUUGGGCGUUCUAUAUAUAUUCGGAAACCUCGUUUCAACUACUACAACAUUAACCAAAGAUAUUAAGUUUAUUUUACACUUAAAUUUUGACGCUUAUUUUUAUUCUUAAUUAAUCAAACCACAUAAUUAAGCAAUUAAGCACAAAACACAUAAUACUCAAAUAAUACAAUCUUAUUAUUUCAAAACGGGUUACAAAGGUUAACCUAGACUAUUACAUUGCUAAAAAUGGCAAGCCCGGAAACACAGGCGUUACAAUUCUCUCCACCUUAGAAUGAUUCCGUCCCCGGAAUCACACAUCAACAAACAAAUGCGGAUAGCGACUCAACAUGUCACUCUCCGUCUCCCAGGUGAGAUUCGGCCCAUUCGUGUGUUUCCAUCGGACAAGCACUAACCCAACCAUUUUGCGUCGCAACUUCUUAGUCUUUCGGUCAACAAUUGCCUCUGGUUCUUCAAUCAACCUUUUGUUCUCAUCAAUUCUCAAUUCAGAAAUUGGAAUUAUAUCGGGAACUUCUCCCGUGAACUUCCUCAAAUAACACACAUGAAAGGUGUUGUGAAUUCCAUUCAGUUCUUCGGGUAAUUCGAGCUUGUAAGCUUGAUUCCCAAUCCUCUGAAGGACUUUAAACGGUCCAAUAAACCUUGGACUCAACUUUCCCCUUUUACCAAAUCUUAUAAGUCCCUUCCACGGCGAGACUUUAAGCAAAACCGAAUCUCCAACCUCAAAAGUCAUCGGUCUUCGCUUCUUGUCAGCAUAGCUCUUUUGACGAUCUUGAGCUGCUAACAUUCUUUCCCUAAUUAUUUUCAACUUUUCAGCAGUUUGAUGAACCAUCUCCGGUCCCAUAAACUGCUUUUCCCCAGCCUCAAGCCAACAAGACGGCGUACGACACUUCUGUCCAUACAAAGCUUGAUAAGGUGCCAUCUUAAUGCUCGAGUGAAAACUAUUAUUAUAGGAAAAUUCUACCAACGGUAAAUGUUCAUCCCAAUUACCUAGGAAUUCCAAGGUACAUGCUCUCAGCAUAUCUUCAAGUGUUUGUAUUGUUCUUUCACUCUGACCAUCAGUCUGCGGAUGGUAAGCUGUGCUUAAACAUAACUUGGUACCCAUUUCCUCUUGUAGACUUUUCCAAAACCUUGAGGUGAAACGGCUAUCACGAUCCGAUACAAUCGUUAACGGAACACCGUGAAGCCUCACAAUUUCCUUCACGUAAGAAUUCGCAAGCUUUUCCAUAGACCAUUUCUCCCUGGCCGCUAUGAAAUGCGCACUCUUAGUGAAUCGAUCAACGACCACCCAAAUCAUGUCGUGACCAUUCUUUGUUCUGGGCAGUUUAGUGACAAAAUCCAUAGCAAUGUCUUCCCACUUACCCAUAGGCACAGGCAAUGGUUCUAAACUCCCGUAAGGUUUCUGAUGUUGUGUCUUGACUCUCGCACAAGUCACACACUCGGCCACAUACUUUGCAACAUCAAGCUUCAUCGUCGGCCACCAGUAGUAGGGUUUCAGGUCCCUAUACAUUUUAGUGCUACCCGGAUGAAUUGAGUACAUGGUUUUGUGAGCUUCUUCCAUCAGAAGAUCCCUAAUUCCUCCUGACUUAGGUACCCAAAUACGAUCUUGGAAUACCUUCAGUCCAUGACCGUUAGUACCAAACACCAACGUUUUACCCAAACGUUCCUCCUUUCGGUCAUUUUUCUCAGAAGCUUCCUCUUGAGCUUUCUUUAUACUUUCCACAAUAGUCGAGACAACUUCAAUUCUCAACGCUCUUGGCCUCUUCCUUUCAAGAUUGACUUUCCGACUGAGAGCAUCAGCAACAACAUUAGCUUUACCGGGGUGGUAAAGUAUCUCGCAGUCGUAGUCUUUAAGUAAUUCUAGCCAGCGUCGUUGCCUCAUAUUCAAUUCUUUCUGAUUAAAGAGGUAUUGGAGACUCUUAUGAUCAGUGAAAAGUUUGCACUUCGUGCCAUAGAGGUAAUGCCUCCAUAUUUUCAGAGCGAAAACUACCGCUGCCAACUCCAAAUCAUGAGUCGGGUAAUUCUUUUCAUGCUCUUUCAGCUGUCGAGACGCAUAUGCUAUCACCUUUUCUCUUUGGGUCAAAACACAACCCAAUCCAACACCAGACGCAUCGCUAUAAACAGCGAAGUCUUCAACUCCAUCGGGUAGAGAAAGUAUCGGUGCCUCGCAUAGCUUCUUCUUUAACUUCUCGAAUGCUUCUUUAUGCUUCUCACUCCAAGCAUAAGUAGCUCCUUUGUGGGUCAAAGCUGUUAAUGGAGUAGCAAUCGAAGAAAAGCCUUGGAUAAACCUUCGGUAAUAUCCGGCUAAUCCUAAAAAGCUUCGAAUCUCCGUGGGACUUUUCGGUUGUUCCCACUUCGUCACAGCUUCGAUCUUCGCUGGAUCAACCAUUAUCCCUUCUUGGUUGACCACGUGACCCAAGAAUUGGACCUCACGAAUCCAAAAAUCACAUUUGGAGAACUUCGCAUAAAGCUUCUCCUUCUUCAAAACUUCUAACACUUCUCGCAAGUGUCUGCCAUGCUCCUCCUGGCUUUUCGAGUAGAUCAGAAUGUCGUCUAUGAACACUAUCACGGAUUUAUCAAGGAAAGGAUUACAAACCCUAUUCAUCAAAUCCAUGAACGCUGCUGGAGCAUUGGUUAGUCCAAACGACAUAACCAAGAACUCGUAGUGUCCAUAUCUAGUUCUGAAUGCAGUCUUCUCGAUAUCUUGCUCUCUUACUUUCAGCUGAUGAUAUCCUGACCUAAGAUCGAUCUUCGAGAAAUAGCUCGAACCUUGCAAUUGAUCAAACAGGUCAUCAAUCCUCGGCAACGGAUAUCUAUUCUUUAUUGUUGCCUUGUUCAGCUCUCUGUAAUCGAUGCACAUUCUCAUACUUCCAUCUUUCUUCUUUACAAAUAACACCGGAGCUCCCCAGGGCGAUGAACUAGGUCUAAUGAAACCUUUGUCCAAUAACUCCUGAAGUUGCAUCAUCAGCUCCUUCAUCUCCGUCGGUGCUAAUCGAUAAGGUGCUUUUGCUAUUGGCGUGGUUCCUGGUAACAAGUCUAUUCUGAACUCCACUUGUCUAUCAGGUGGUAAUCCAGGAAGAUCCUCGGGAAAUACUUCCGGAUAAUCACACACCACUGGAAUGCUCUGCAUCACCUUCUUUUCUUUCUUAGCAUCAAUCACGAAUGCUAAAUAUGAUGUACAUCCCUUGGUCAAACACUUUCUGGCUUUCAUUAGAGAAAUGAUUCCAGAAUUCACUCUGCGUUUGUCCCCAUACACCAUAAACGAAUCUUUCCCAGGCGGGUUUACUUUAACUAUCUUCUUCUUGCACAAAAUUUCGGCAUCAUUGGCGCUAAGCCAAUCCAUUCCCAAGACGAUGUCGAAACCAUUUAGUUCGAUAGGCAAUAAUUCCUCGAGAAACUUAUUCCCAUUAAGGUCGAUCAAGACGUUUUUCAUACGAUGGCUAACAGGUACAAACUUGCCACUAGCUACUUCGACUAAUAAAGCAUUAUCUAGUCUAUCAACAGGCAAAGCUAGCUUUCUACCAAACUCAUGCGAAAUAAAGGAGUAGUUGGCUCCAGAAUCAAACAAUAUAUGAGCAGGUAAUUCGUUUACGAGAAAGGUACCUGAAGCGACAUCAGCUUCAUCUUUCGCAGCCUCAAGUGUCAUCUGGAAGGCUCUCGCCUUCGGCUUUGGUGGAAUGUUGGGCCUAGCUGCCUCCUUCUUCUUCGGACAGUCUUUCAAAAUAUGCCCCUCUUCAUUACACCCAAAACACAUCCUUUUGUUGUUCGGACAUUCAUUGGCAAAAUGUCCAACCUUUCCACACUUGUAGCAGGUCACAUCCUCGCUACAUUUCCCAAAGUGCUUUUUCUUACACUUAUCACACCACUUUGCUUCGCCUCCUUUUCCUCCAAACUUUUUCGAAUCAGAUUUCGAAAAUUUGCUCUUCUUACUGGAACCAGAUGUUCCUUCAAACUUCCUUUUCUCACCAACCUCAACCUUGACGGUGGUUCUCCCCUUGAUCAUGUUCUCCACAGACUUGGCAGCCCAGAUAGCUGCCUCUAGAGUAAGUGCCUGACGUACCGGCACCUCGUACUCCCAUGGAAGUCCCUUCGCAUACCGAUCCACCUUUGUCAGCUCGUCUGGAACGAUACGCAAGGCAAACUCCAUCUUAUCGGUGAAGUUAUUGGUGUACUCAUCCACUGACAUGCUACCCUUCGUCAAUGUCAAAAACUUGUUCUCCAACUCCAACAGAUUUUGAGCCGAGCAGAACUUGCGCUUGAACUGCACCAAGAACUCUGCCCAUGACAAUUGCAGUGGCUCAUUAGGGCUUAAGGUCUUCCCUAGAGUGUUCCACCAACGAACGGCUCCACCUCGGAAUUGUCGCACGGCAUAGAUAGUCUGCAACUUGCCUCUACAGCCACAUGUCAUAAAGGCUAACUCCAUUUCGGAGAUCCAAUCCAUAACCCCAAUCGGAUCCUCCUUUCCAUUGAAGGUCGAUGGUUUACAAGUCAAAAAGUCCUUGUACUUGCAUCCCAUUCCAUCAUUCCUUCCAUCAUGGUUAUCUUGCCUAACUAUCGGUGGGUUGGCUGGACCAACAGACCCACUGAAGUUUCCACCUUCCGAGUGCCCUUCAUUCAGUUCAGGCUCUUCCACACGAAUCGACAGUUCUUCACGAUUUUGUUGAAGCAACCGUCUAGUUUCAUCCAUCUGACGAUCCAACAUCGUCUGAAUCAUCAAUUGCACACCAGCCAUGGUUAUUGGCUCAGGUGCUGCUGCUACGACAGGUAUUGGCUCAAUCACUGGUGGUUGAUUCCUGUUUUCGUCAGCAUUUCCAACUCCACUUCUUGUUCUCACCAUUUUGAUCUACACCGAAUAAGGUGAAAUUAGAUCCUCAAUCAUGAUAGAUAUUCAAAUCAUCCUUAUCACUCCGAAACGUUUACAUGCUAGUUCUAAUAUCGUAGACGUACGCUUAGAAUCCUACACACAUAAGGUUUCUAGAUCCGGUCGGCAACAGACCAUAGAUCCGAACAAAUAAUAUCAUAUAUGGCAACAUAUAACAUUUAGCACAUAAAGCAUUUUAGGCAACUUUCCUAAAAUAAACUAGUGCUCGUGUCUAAAUCACAACAGACACACAUCUCAAAACUUCACUUAGCAUUCUAAGUUUAAGUCUAGAAAUCCUACAAAUUCCUAGUUCGCUUAAACUAAUGCUCUGAUACCAACUGUGACAUCCCCAAAAUCUCGGCCAGAAAAGACCGAUUUUCAUUUAUGCUUUUAAAUAUUUUCAGAGUAAAUCCUUUUGAUUUGAAAGAGUUGCGGAAUUUGUUCCCAAAAACAAAACAUGAUAAAACAUUGUUUACCGAAGCAUUUCAUAAAAGAAAUGUAUUUUCAUUAUAAUCAAAACUCGGGGUGUCAUGUUCCGAUACAGACCAAUAAGCAUAAACGAAUACAUUACAAGUCAUAUAACAAAUAUAAACAUAUGCAGACUUGUAAACAAAACAACUUGAUGGUUCAUCCAUCUCAUGCCCUUCCGCCACUACCUGUAAUACAAUUUAAAACUGAGUGGGUCAGGCUUGGGAGCCUGGUGAGCAUAUAGGGUUUUCAACCCACAAUAAAUAUCAUAUUUAAUUUUCACCAACCAACAAUAACCCAAUUACCCAUUCCCGUUAUUCU